rnacentral:snoRNA from 1 species
CUCCUGGUGCUUAGCACAGACUGUGUUCUUACACUGACUUUAUAGAAAGAAAUGGCAAAGUAAACCUACCCUGUGCCUGCUCUGUAUUGUGAAUGGGAAGACAUAG